GGUCGUGUGGCGCAACUGGCAGCGCGUUACUUUCCGGUUCUUAGAUGGUCUCCGACUGGUAAAGGUUCUGGGUUCGAGUCCCAGCAUGAUCG